AUCUGAGUCUCGGUGUGCUUCCUUGAGGGUGUGGGGGUGAGUCCUUCUGUAUUGGAGGGCUGUGAUCUACCCCUUUGCUGGGGGUUCAUAGCUGCAUUUUGGGGCUGGCAGCCAUCUGUACCUGGAAACUGCUUCUUUGGGGGAGCGAGUGAGUAUUGGUCCUUGGAAUGGGGUAAGUGGUUCUUUCUGAAUUUCAGGGCUCUGAGCUCCUCUUUUGGGGGGAUCUUGACCCCAUGUAAGAAGUGGUAGCUUUCAGGCCUGUAUCUGAACUUGGAGACUGCUUCCUUCGAGGUGUGGGGGGAAAGCCCUUAAAUGGGGUGAGGGAUUCCUGCUUUAUUGUAGAGCUGUGAGCCAUGUCUUUCCGGGGAGAUCCUGAGCUGGAUUAGAGCAGCUGUAUCUGCUGUGUGUGUCCCUACGGUGCCUUCAGUCUUGUCCUAAGGGAAAUGAAGGGGUUGUCUCCUGUUCUCUGAGCAGCUGAUGGAUGGACUGACAUCCAUUCCUUCCUUUCACAGUUCCCUUGCUUCUGGAUUGCUUCAAUGAGCCCUAACGAUGCUGAUUGGCUGACUGAGCGCUGCGGUUCUGGACACGGUGACAGUUAAUACCCUAUUCCGUUCAGGGGUUCUGCAUUCUGCAGGUCCUGUUUGCAGCCCUUUUCAAGCCCAUUUCUUUCUGGUUGAGCCGCUGUUUCCUCUUUCAUGGUUUUCACCUCAUGAUCUCCAACCUCAGCUCCAAAUGUGGUUUGUCUUCUCCCCCAUCAUCCCAUCUUAUGGCUGUAAUUCACAGUGGCAUGUGUUAAUUACACCCACGCAGAGUUGUUUAAGGGCAUGCUGGGCAUCAUUAUCAUGUUUUAAAUUAUGUCCUCUCUUCUGGUCUCAGUUUGCAGCUCAGUGGGUUUUAAGGAUUGUUGGGACUCCUCUAAUCGGUGGUGUGAGGCCUGUGGAGCAGCUAAUGGAACAUCACGACUAUGCUGACUUCCCCAGGGUGGCAGCAGAGAGCUGCAGCGCUCCCGAGUGCUGUAAGGACUGCACGGAGAGACGUGCGGGUCUUCACGGGAACAGCCAGGAACCGAAAGCUGCAUUUCCCGGGAUGCCCUGGAGCUCCACUUUGCUGACUGGUAAUUGUCUGCCCAGCAGGUGGCAGCAGAGAGCUGCAGCGCUCCCGAGUGCUGUAAGGACUGCACGGAGAGAUGUGCGGGUCUUCACGGGAACAGCCAGGAACCGAAAGCUGCAUUUCCCGGGAUGCCCUGGAGCUCCACUUUGCUGACUGGUAAUUGUCUGCCAGCAGGCAGGUCUUCAAUGAAGAUAUUGGACAGAACAGGCCUGAAGAGCACUCAGGAUGGCAUACCAGCUGCAUUUAACACGAUGGAGCAGCACUCAUUAGGCCAGGCGGUUCAGCUAGUUCUUCAUCUAGCAAGCAGCGUACCCGUCCAAGUAGCCGGCUGCAAUCUUUCAGAGAAUUUCGAGGGAUAGCACAUCAAAGGCUUUGCCUCACUCAGGGGGUUGGGUCACCUUCGCUUUGAGAUUGCUAGCGUGGCUGACCCUAAUCCCGUAACUGACAUCCCGUAGCUGGACAGGGACCAUUCGCACUCCAUCCAGGCUGUUUGAGACUCACGGCCAUGCUGAGAGUCACACUGAUUUCAGCGCGUGCAGUCAUUUUGCAUCAACCCAAUUGGCUUUAUCUUUACAAAUAAUUUAUCUCAACCAAAUUGGCUUUAGCUUUGCAGUUAAUGCAUUGCAAAUAAGUUGGCUUUAGCUUUGCCUUGCUUACGGGGUUGGGUUAGCUUUGCUUUGUUUGUUUGUACCGCAGGGCUAACCCAACCCCGUAACCAACGCCCGAGGCCUUUGGAGCCCAUUUGCGCUCCUUCCCGGCCAGUCUGAGACUCGCGCCCCUUUGCGGCCAUUCUGAGAGUUGUGCCGAUUUUGGCAGGUGCAGUCAAUUGAUCUUGCCCAAAUUGGCUUUAGCUUUGCAAUCAAUUGAUCUCAGCCAAAUUGGCUUUAGCUUUGCCUUGCUUACGGGGUUGGGUUAGCUUUGCUAUGUUUGUUUGUACCGCAGGGCUAACCCAACCCCGUAACCAAUGCCCAAGGCCAGCAGAGGCCAUUUGUGCUCCUUCCCGGCCAGUCUGAGACUCGCGCCCCUUUGUGGCCAUUCUGAGAGUUGUGCUGAUUUUGGCAUGUGCAGUCAAUUGAUCUUACCCAAAAUUGGCUUUAGCUUUGCAAUCAAUUGAUCUCAGCCAAAUUGGCUUUAGCUUUGCCUUGCUUAUGGGGUUGGGUUAGCUUUGCUUUGUUUGUUUGUACCGCAGGGCUAACCCAACCCCGUAACCAACGCCUGAGGCCUUUGGAGCCCAUUUGCGCUCCUUCCCGGCCAGUCUGAGACUCGCGCCCCUUUGCGGCCAUUCUGAGAGUUGUGCCGAUUUUGGCAGGUGCAGUCAAUUGAUCUUGCCCAAAUUGGCUUUAGCUUUGCAAUCAAUUGAUCUUGCCCAAAUUGGCUUUAGCUUUGCAAUCAACUGAUCUUGCCCAAAUUGGCUUUAGCUUUGCAAUCAAUUGAUCUCAGCCAAAUUGGCUUUAGCUUUGCCUUGCUUACGGGGUUGGGUUAGCUUUGCUUUGUUUGUUUGUACCGCAGGGCUAACCCAACCCCGUAACCAACGCCCGAGGCCUUUGGAGCCCAUUUGCGCUCCUUCCCGGCCAGUCUGAGACUCGCGCCCCUUUGUGGCCAUUCUGAGAGUUGUGCUGAUUUUGGCAUGUGCAGUCAAUUGAUCUUACCCAAAAUUGGCUUUAGCUUUGCAAUCAAUUGAUCUCAGCCAAAUUGGCUUUAGCUUGGCCUUGCUUACGGGGUUGGGUUAGCUUUGCUUUGUUUGUUUGUACCGCAGGGCUAACCCAACCCCGUAACCAACAGAGCCCAUUUGCGCUCCUUCCCGGCCUGUCUGAGGCUUGCAUUUACUUCAGGUGGGCUGAGAUGUGCUCUGCUCUUGAGGUGGGUUGGAGUACACAAUAUUAGUGUAAAUGUAAUGUUAUUUAUUGGAUAUGGAGGCUUUGUGACCUUUGUCUUGUGAAUCGGACAUAUGUGUUAUAUGUAAACCAUGCCUUAAAAUGUAUGGAGUGCGCGGGUGCUGCGCCUGUAAACAGUGUCUUGCAAUUGUAUGGAGUACGCGGGUGCUGCGCCUGUAAACAGUGUCUUGCAAUUGUGUAAACGGUGUCUUGCAAUUGUAUGGAGUACGCGGGUGCUGCUGCCUGUAAACGGUGUCUUGCAAUUGUAUGGAAUCAGUGUAUUCAUGUUUUGUUUGUCAACAUGUAGGCAUUGCUGUAGUGUGCAUACAAUUGUAUGAGUCAUGUCUUGAGGAAACAGUGCUGUAAUGAACAAAUACUUGUGCAAUCUAAUUCAGUGGUGUGCCUUGAUUCAACAUUACCAGGACACAGAUCCCACUUGAAGCUAAGUGCAACAGGUAGGUGUGAAGGUAAGGUAGACUGUGAGACAUUGGGUUAGACUUAGGGUUAGGUGUUAGACUUAGACUUAGACUUAGACUUAGACUUUUAGGGUUAGACUUAGACUUAGACUUUUAGGGUUAGACUUAGACUUAGAC